GGUGUGGGUGUGGGGGGCGCGGGCCCCACCACGCUGCUGGUGCCCGCGCGACCGCCGGGACGGUUCGUACACCCGGAAGCAGCCCACCUGGCACUGACAGCAGCUGACCUUGAACGUGAGCGCGGACGCCCUCUCUCCAAAUACGAGAGGAACAUGAUGAUCUUCAACUGGCUCCACACCCUGGACGAGGCCGCGCCCUUCUAGAACACUCUAGAACGACAAGGAAUGUUCUAGAAGCACCCAGAAGAUGUCGAGGUCUAAAGGUAUGUCUUGUA